rnacentral:misc_RNA from 1 species
AGCCGUACCGGAAGGUGCGGCUGGAUCACCUCCUUUCUACGGAGUUUUGUGGGCGCACGGUGGUGGGCCGAUAUGGGGAUGCUUUACAGCCUGGCUUCCUGCCGGGUGGUGUCCCUUGCUGGCUGGAAAAAGGUCAAGGCGCCUGUGCCCUUGUGGUGUGGGUGGACAGUGGUGUGGUGCAUGCUGUUGGGUUCCCGGACCGCCAGGCCCCUUGUCGGGGGUGGUGUUCCGUUCCCGCCGUCCUGGCCGUGCCCCUUGUGGGGUGGGUGUCUGGGGUGGUGUGGUGUGGUGGUUUGAGAACUGGAGAGUGGACGCGAGCAUGAACGGUGUGCCCUUGUGGGGUGUGCCGGGUGUGUUCGUACUGUUGAUUUUGUCGAACCGUUCCGUGCCCGCCUUUCGGGUGGGUGCGUGGAUUGUGUUCGCGAGUGUUUUGGUAAGCCGCCCGCACUGUUGGUGUGGGUGGUGUUUAGAUGAUCUGAUUAGUUGUCGUAGGGUGUUCCAGUGCAAGUGGCAUGGGCCCGUGGCCCCCUUUUUGCGGGGGUUGGUGGGUUUGUUGCCAUGGGCGUAU